rnacentral:rRNA from 1 species
GAUGAACGCUAGCGAUAGGCUUAACACAUGCAAGUCGAGGGGCAGCACAAGGUAGCUUGCUAUCUGGGUGGCGACCGGCGCACGGGUGCGUAACGCGUAUGCAACUUGCCCUAUACAGGAGGAUAACCCGUCGAAAGACGGACUAAUACUGCGUAUGCUCACAACUUGGCAUCAAGUGGUGAGGAAAGAAAUUCGGUAUAGGAUAGGCAUGCGUCCCAUUAGCUUGUUGGUGAGGUAACGGCUCACCAAGGCAACGAUGGGUAGGGGAACUGAGAGGUUUAUCCCCCACACUGGUACUGAGACACGGACCAGACUCCUACGGGAGGCAGCAGUGAGGAAUAUUGGGCAAUGGGCGCGAGCCUGAACCAGCCAAGUCGCGUGAAGGAUGACUGUCUUAUGGAUUGUAAACUUCUUUUAGACGGGAAUAACAAGAGUCACGUGUGACUCCCUGCAUGUACCGUAUGAAUAAGCAUCGGCUAACUCCGUG